rnacentral:rRNA from 1 species
UAAACGAUGUGUGUUAGACGUUGGAAAUUUAUUUUCAGUGUCGCAGCGAAAGCAGUAAACACACCGCCUGGGGAGUACGACCGCAAGGUUAAAACUCAAAUGAAUUGACGGGGACCCGCACAAGUAGUGGAGCAUGUGGUUUAAUUCGAAGAUACGCGCAGAACCUUACCAACACUUGACAUGUUCGUCGCGGCUCUAAGAGAUUAGAGCUUUCGGUUCGGCCGGACGAAACACAGGUGCUGCAUGGCUGUCGUCAGCUCGUGUCGUGAGAUGUUGGGUUAAGUCCCGCAACGAGCGCAACCCUCACUUUUAGUUGCCAUCAUUCAGUUGGGCACUCUGAAAGAACUGCCAGUGAUAAGCUGGAGGAAGGUGGGGAUGACGUCAAGUCCUCAUGGCCCUUACGUGUUGGGCUACACACGUGCUACAAUGGCAUUUACAAUAGGAAGCAAGAUGGCGACGUCAAGCAAAUCCUAAAAAGAUGCCUCAGUUCGGAUUGUACUCUGCAACUCGAGUACAUGAAGCUGGAAUUACUAGUAAUCGCGGAUCAGCGCGCCGCGGUGAAUACGUUCCCGGGUCUUGUACACACCGCCCGUCACACCAUGGGAGUUGGUUCUACCUAA